GACGAACGCUGGCGGCGUGCCUAAUACAUGCAAGUCGAGCGGACCGAACAGGAGCUUGCUCUUGUUCGGUUAGCGGCGGACGGGUGAGUAACACGUGGGUAACCUGCCCGUAAGACCGGGAUAACUCCGGGAAACCGGAGCUAAUACCGGAUAACACCGAAGACCGCAUGGUCUUUGGUUGAAAGGCGGCUUCGGCUGCCACUUACGGAUGGGCCCGCGGCGCAUUAGCUAGUUGGUGAGGUAACGGCUCACCAAGGCGACGAUGCGUAGCCGGCCUGAGAGGGUGACCGGCCACACUGGGACUGAGACACGGCCCAGACGCCUACGGGAGGCAGCAGUAGGGAAUCUUCCGCAAUGGACGAAAGUCUGACGGAGCGACGCCGCGUGAGCGAAGAAGGGCUUCGGAUCGGAAAGCUCUGUUGUUAGGGAAGAAGAAGCGUCGUUCGAACAGGGCGGCGCGGUGACGGUACCUAACGAGAAAGCCCCGGCUAACUACGUG
rnacentral:rRNA from 1 species